UCCCGCUGCCUUGCGGCGGGAAGGAAAGUCCGGACACCAGCGGGCAGGACGCCCCGGGAAACCGGGGGUCCCGCGUCCCAUAUGGCGCGGGAACGGACAGCGCCACAGAAAACAUACCGCCUCACGGCCUCCGGGCCGUGCGGCAAGGGUGAAAUGGUGGGGUAAGAGCCCACCGCCCCGCUGGCAACAGCGGGGGCACGGCAAGCCCCGUCCGGCG
rnacentral:RNase_P_RNA from 1 species